rnacentral:rRNA from 1 species
UACGUAGGGUGCGAGCGUUGUCCGGAAUUAUUGGGCGUAAAGAGCUCGUAGGCGGUCUGUCGCGUCGAAUGUGAAAACCCGGGGCUCAACUGCGGGCCUGCAGCCGAUACGGGCAGGCUAGAGUUCGGUAGGGGAGACUGGAAUUCCUGGUGUAGCGGUGAAAUGCGCAGAUAUCAGGAGGAACACCGGUGGCGAAGGCGGGUCUCUGGGCCGAUACUGACGCUGAGGAGCGAAAGCGUGGGGAGCGAACAGG